rnacentral:rRNA from 1 species
GAUGAACGCUGGCGGCGUGCCUAAUACAUGCAAGUCGAGCGAACGGACGAUAAGCUUGCUUCUCUGAUGUUAGCGGCGGACGGGUGAGUAACACGUGGAUAACCUACCUAUAAGACUGGGAUAACUUCGGGAAACCGGAGCUAAUACCGGAUAAUAUUUUGAACCGCAUGGUUCAAAAGUGAAAGACGGUCUUGCUGUCACUUAUAGAUGGAUCCGCGCUGCAUUAGCUAGUUGGUAAGGUAACGGCUUACCAAGGCAACGAUGCAUAGCCGACCUGAGAGGGUGAUCGGCCACACUGGAACUGAGACACGGUCCAGACUCCUACGGGAGGCAGCAGUAGGGAAUCUUCCGCAAUGGGCGAAAGCCUGACGCAGCAACGCCGCGUGAGUGAUGAAGGUCUUCGGAUCGUAAAACUCUGUUAUUAGGGAAGAACAGAUGUGUAAGUAACCGUGCACAUCUUGACGGUACCUAAUCAGAAAGCCACGGCUAACUACGUG